rnacentral:rRNA from 1 species
GACGAACGCUGGCGGCGUGCUUAACACAUGCAAGUCGAACGGAAAGGCCCUGCUUUUGUGGGGUGCUCGAGUGGCGAACGGGUGAGUAACACGUGAGUAACCUGCCCUUGACUUUGGGAUAACUUCAGGAAACUGGGGCUAAUACCGGAUAGGAGCUCCUGCUGCAUGGUGGGGGUUGGAAAGUUUCGGCGGUUGUGGAUGGACUCGCGGCUUAUCCGCUUGUUGGUGGGGUAGUGGCUUGCCAAGGCUUUGACGGGUAGCCGGCCUGAGAGGGUGACCGGCCACAUUGGGACUGAGAUACGGCCCAGACUCCUACGGGAGGCAGCAGUGGGGAAUAUUGCACAAUGGGCGGAAGCCUGAUGCAGCAACGCCGCGUGCGGGAUGACGGCCUUCGGGUUGUAAACCGCUUUCGCCUGUGACGAAGCGUGAGUGACGGUAAUGGGUAAAGAAGCACCGGCUAACUACGUG